ACUGCAACACCUUCCAGAAAGCUGAGGGGCUGUGCUCCCAAUAGACUGCUACUGGAGCCACUGCAAAAAGGAAGUGAUCCAGAAACCAAAUGGAUAGAAGGGAAACUGUGUGAAAUGCUUGAUUACUGAGUCUCUGAGGCACAAGGUGGAGGAGAGACAGGACAGAACAGGUUGGGAGAAAUAUGGCUUUGGUGGUGACCUUGGAACACUGGACGGCAGGUUUUUAUUUUUUAGUCAUUUCAUUUUGGAUUUUCACAACAUGAAACAGCUCAUUGGGAUAUCAGCAGAAGGUCUAGAUGGAUUACAGCUUUUCCAUGACCAGAGAGAGCAGCUACAGCAAACGUGACACAUGGAACACUCUUCUCAAUCAGAGAUGCCAGAUUUCAGAAGGCAAUUUUAUAUUUAGUGUUCAUAUUUGAAAAAAUGGGCAGAUAAUCUAAUAGCAGUAGUAUGAUGUCUCAAAGACUGGUAUGUAUUUUAAAUCUAAUCAUGUUUGGUUUUCUCAAUGCAUCAAAGAAAUGGCAGCAUUUUAUAUAUAAAUCACUUGUUAUUUCUAGCAUCAAUAAACCUUUAUUUUUCUUCCCAAAUUCACCCUUUAGGAUCUAACUAUGAAUAAGCAAUAUUUAUUCACCUGCACCACAGCAAAUUUCCAUAUGUUACAUCACAAC